AUGAUACAGGUGCCCAACUUAUUGAAGAAGGAACAGGAGACAUGAACGGAGAGAUUGAAGGACCUGACCACCUUGAACUGGGUGGAUGGAGGCGAUCAUUUGGUUUAGCCGUAGAGUCACUGUGUUUGUUUCUCCUGUGAUGAUGCCUAAUAGAGGAGAUUAUAGGCGCAGAUGCAGAACUGUGUACUUGCUUCCCACCAGAAUUCCUAAAAUGGGUUGAAGUUAAAGGUGCAUCCGCGUAAUUUGAUGGUUCCAAGAUCUUGUGCUGAUAAGUAGCUUUAGUUGGAUGAUGAUAUGGGUGUGGAGCACUGUGAAAUGCCUCGAGAUGGGGCGCAGCAGCAAACAUUGCAUGUCUCUUCGAUCUAGAAGUUGGAGUGGGGAACAAAUCUUCUUGUAGGAGGGAUUUACGUGAUCCUGCAUUUCUCUGUACACUAAGAUCAAUUCGUCCGUCCUUGAGAAAUGCAGAAGCUGCUGUUUUCAGUGAAUGUAGGUUGAAUCCUGCAGAUAAUUGGAUUGAAAGAACACUUAGAAUCACCAAGAACCUCAACAACAUGAAACUCUG
rnacentral:misc_RNA from 1 species